UCAUACAAGAUCAUGCUAACAGAGACUUGUAAGAUACAUCGUGGAUGAUAAACGGGACUUCAAGGGAUUUCGAGAGAUGACAAUCAUUAGAUCAUAGAGUUGAUAGAUUUUAAUUGUAAGAGUCUUGUAAUCAUCUGAACAUCGAGUUAUAGUGCAUGAUCUUUGUCCAGAGAAGGGAACACGUGAUUUUUCUUUCAUUCAAGGGUUUCCACGGUAAAAAUCUUGUGUAUUUCUUGGUUAAUGGGUUUGUUUCUUUUUAUAUCUUGAAUCUUACAAUAUUGCACAAAGUCGUGAUAUUCAUUUAAUAUUGUAGUUUUUAGAUCAUUGGGUAAAACAUAGACAAAUGUUAGGUUUUCUAAAUGUCAAUUACACAAAUAGAUACACAGUAUUAUUAUACAUAGAGGGAGCAAUAGCCCACAAGUAGAAGUUUCAGUUUCACCACACCCAUAUUAUUAACAGAUGGAAAUAUAUAUUUAUUCUUGAGAGGUACACACUGAUCACACAUCUACUGCUCCAUACCAAGUAAGCCAGAUAAUGGCAUUUAUAUCUCCAUUAUAUCACUUGAGAUGGUGGGUCUCAAUGUCUUUUGUGAUCUCAAUACAGAGGUCCAUCAAUUUGUUUGGCUCUUCAACAUCUUCUUUCGGCUUUUCAUAGUGAAAGUUCCAUGUCACCGAGGUGUUUUCCCCUUUUGUGUCCACAUGAACAACAAUCAUAAAGGUCUUGUACAGAUCCAUAAGAUCUCCUUCAACAACCUUGAAUGUCACGGACUUGGUUUCUUCUUCAGUUCUUCUAUUGCUUCAACAAUUUCCUUAGCAGCCUUCUCCUUUCUAUCUGUGGUUUUCAUCACAUUAAAUGCAACUUCUUAAGUCAAGCUAGUCAAGGCGUAUCCACAAUUUUAAUUUUGGGGAGCUGAAUAUAUAUAUAAAACACAUAAUUUGUAAAUUACACAUGUAAUAUAUUGGACCUAGAAUUUCUCUCCUAGGUGCUUUCAAUUGCUUGUAAUAAAACAUAAUAUUUUUAUGUAAUUUUUAUAUAUUUUAUAUUUUGAGUAUUUGUCUGUGAAUCCAACCCUAUAGUUGUAAUUUAAAGAAAUUCUGAAACUACGAGGACAAAAGUGCAAUUUUGUACUAGAGGAGGUUAAGAAGACUAUAAAUACAUGAGGGAGGCAACCCUAAUUGGGAGUAAGAGCCAACAAUAUUGUUUAUCCAUGCUCUUUGUGUACUUGAGAGAUUUUUAGAGAAAUCAUUGAGCUUCAUCUUUUCUCUUAAGGUGUGUUUAUCAUAAACUCAUCAAAUCAAGAUUUAAAUCCUUUGGACAUACUCAAAGGCGGAUAGAUUUAAGUUCAAUUCAUAGAUGAUUGUUGAUGAUUCAAUACUCAACCAUUAACUGAAGCGUAGAUCGUGGACUCAGUCAGUACUAGGAUCACAUUCACAUGUUCGAGGAUUUGACACCUAAGGCGCGUGAAUUUAGUUAGAUUGAGUUUGUAAGUUAUAACUUAUAUUUUGCAUAGUGGAUUAGUUGAUCGUACUUAGUUCCAGAUUUUUUUUUCUACUUUGAGAUUUUGCACGUAAAAAAUUGCUUGUUUUUGUGUGUGCUUGAUUUUAUAUUUAUUUGAGGUUUUUAUUUGUUUGGUUAAAUAGCUUCGCAAAUUCAUAAAACGAAUAAAACUAUAUUUUUAAUUUUACAAUUGGUAUCAGAGCGGGUCACUCAAAAUAAAAUAUUUUUUUAUUUUUUUUCAGAGUAUGGUCUGAUUGAUUUGUUUCUAUGUAUAAAUUUGAUCGUAAGAAGCUUGACAAUAUUCAACAAGCCUAUGAUAACUUUGUAAGGAGUCUUAUGAGAAGAACAAAAUUUAUGAAAAAUGUAAUGCAAAAGUGGAAUCACUUAAGAAGUCUUAAGAGAUGAAUAUAAAUAAGAGCUAAUUGAAGCUCAAGCUACCGUGGGUGAAUUGAAUCGUAUAAUGCUACUUUGUCUAAAAAAAAAAUUAUUAUUGAAAAAGAGAAAAAAUAAAUAUUUGAUAAGUUGAAUUUACUUUUUGAAAAACAUUUAAAACCUGACAAAGAUAUGCAUUUGUGUCUUGAGUCAAAAGAUAAUCUUGAGGAAAAAGUGGGUAAAUUAGAAUUUGAUCUUAGUGCUUCUAAUGCUACUCUCGAGAAGUUUAAUGCAGAUUCAAAGGUUUUGGAUGAAAUUAUUUGCGUGCAAAAAUUUUCUUCUGACAAGAGAGGACUUGGAUAUGUUGAUAAGCCUUCAUCUUCUUCCAAAUCGGGGAACAUGGAUAUUUUUGUGAACCCUAAAAAAUGUGGUUCCAAUCUUUCCAAGGCCAACCAAACAAAGGGAUCUCCUAAGAAAACCGUCACAAAUGUAUAGGUAAAAUCAUCUAAUUUUAAUCUUGUUUGCCAUCAGUGUAGUGUCCAUGGUCAUAUUAGGCAUUUAUUGAUUUAAUGAUUGUUUUGAUGAUAUUUGAUGAUGUCAAGGUUUCAUCAUGUAUGGUCUUAAUAUUGAUAUAUGCACAAAAUGUAUAUAUAUAUAUAUAUAUAUAUAUAUAUUAUUUAUCAUAUUAAUACAUAUAUAUUAGAUUCAUGGUAUGAUUAUGCGUAUUCUACAUUAGUAUUUUUCAUUCUAUUAGUAUUAUACACCUUCAAAGUUCAGUCGAUCAAAAUUGCAACUGAAACAAAGUUUGAUUGACUGAAGUUGACUUUUGGUCGGCCGAACUUUCGACCAAAAUUUAAAAUUUUCAAUCCUAACAGUCCAAAUCAAGUUCCAACGGCCCAAAUUAAAUUCUAAUUACUCUAUUACUAUUUCAACAAGUAGAUUUGCUAAGAUGGCUAUAAAUACAACCCUUAACUAGAUGCAAAUUAUGAUGGGAUGAAAUAGGUUUGAUAGGAUUAAUGACCAAUUAAAAUUCUUGUUAAAACUUAUACUAGCAAUGCACUCUCAAUUUAAGCAAAUAUAUAUAAACAACUUAAAAGAGGGGAGAGAAAAUAGUGCAAACGAUUUAUAAUGGUUCAACAAAUCUCAGCCUACGUCCACUCUCCAAACUUCUCAUUGGAAAUUCAUUAUCUUCAAAUUUGUGAGUGCUUGAAAAUCUUUAUAAAUACUAGAACCUUUUAGUCGUCAAGAGAGUCCCUCUCUUAGGAAUUUUACAAUUACUUAUAGUGAUCCUUUCAACAAGAUACAAUAGUUGAAGUGAUUCUUACUUACCAACUCUAGAUCAAGGAUAAAUACAAUCAUAUCUAGAAUGAUCUUGCUCACUUUGAUUUUUGGCAAAUCAAACUCACAAUAAAUGAACAAAUGAUUGAAGUAUUGAAUACAAAUGUUAUUAGGAUUUUAUGGCACUUCAAUACCCUUCCAACAAACCCAAGGAUUGAAUUAUAAGCCAAAAGUUAAAUAGAGUCAUUGCAGCAUGUAAUGCAUCUGAUUAAGCCAUUCUGAUUGAAUCUCAGCCGUUGGAUCUUGAUUUGGACUGCAGGAUUAAAAUGUUCAAACUUCGGUUGACCAAACUUUAAUUAUGGUCGAAAUUGCACUGAGAUUUCAGAGAUUAACUUUUCUUGUUUACUGAAGGGUUGGGGAACUUCGGUCGAGGUUUUGUAACUUUCGAUCGAACGAAUGUCAACUUCGGUUGACAUUGCUCUACAAUUUCAGUAAGCUCUUUAAUCUCUAAUUUGGCUCUUAACUGAUUUCGAUUGAUCGAAUCUUAACUUUGAUCGACUGAACCUUACCUUUAGUUAAGGUUGUACUAAAUUUUCAAUGAGCUCUUGGUUCCUCUAUUUUCACUUCAGCUAUGCUUUCUUAACUUCGGUCGACCAAUUGUGGACUUUGGUUGUAGUUGCUUUGUGUCUCCAGUGAGCUAGUCUGUCAAUGGAUUGGGCUUCCAUUUCACUUUGGUUGAGGGCCUUAAGCUUUGGUCGAUCGAAAUUGUGACGGUAACAACUUUUGUGUUGUUUCUUUUAUAGUUCAAAAUCGUCAAUUAUCCAUUUUGAGUUUAAAUGUUAAUUUGACUCUUCUAUCACUUUCAUGUGUAUAAUUACAUUGAAUAUAACUUGUGAAGAGUUAUGAAUCUCACUUUAAACAUGUGUAGCCUUAACUUUAAUAGCACUAUUGUUUUUCUUCAAGGAUGUGAAUUAGUCGAUUUAGUUCUUUCCAUUCUAAGUCAUUUUAUCAAUCUGUGUUAUCUAGAAAGCAUUAUACUAGGGGGAUGAAAUAUGUUUGCUAAGAUUUGAUGGCCAAUUAAAAUUUUUUCUUAAUAACUUACUCAAAUAAUGAACUUCUAGAUUUAACAAGUAUAUAAGCAAUGUAAAAAGGAGAGAAGAGAAAGAAGAUGCAAACGAUUUAUAGUAGUUCGGCAAAUCUUGGUUUACGUCCACUUUCUAAGUUUCUUCUUGAAAAUUCACUAAGUUUAAGCUUACGAGUGCUUGACAACCUUUACAACUACUAGAACUCUUCUAGUAUUCAAGAGAUUUAUUUUCUUGGAAAUUUUCAAUCACUAAAAGUGAUUUUCUCAAUAAGAUACAAUAGUUUAAAGUAACUAUUUACUCACACAUUCCAGAUUGAUAAUAAAUACAAUGAAGCUCUCUUGUUUAGAUUGAUCUAACUUUCUUGAUCUCAAUCAAGCUGACAAUGAAUGAUCAAGGGAUUGAAGUAAUGAAUACAAAUAAAUGUAAAGAUUAAAAGCAAUUCAAUACUUCUCCAACAACCUCCACAUAUGGUUGAAUUUAUAAGCUCAAAAUAAAUUAUAGUCGUUGUAGCAUUAAAUGCACCUAAUCUAGCCGUUUUGAUUUAAUCACAACCGUUGCAUCUUUGAUUUGAAUGUGCAAGAUCAAACUUUUAAACUUCGGUCAUAAACUUCGGUCGUCAAUGAUCGAAAAUUCCAAAGACUUUCAUUCCUUGUCUGCUAAGAGUUUUAUAACUUCGAUCGUGGCCUGUUUCACUUUCAGUCAACCAAACUUGAACUUUGAUCGUGUUUGAACUAGAAUUCUAGUCAGCAUUUCUGUUGCUCUAUUUUC
rnacentral:lncRNA from 1 species